AAGACAGAGAUGAGAAGUUCCAGCUGUUUGUACUCCUAUUUCAUUUUUAAACAUGGAUGGACAAGGGAGAGAAAAGCAAGGGGAGAGAAAAGAAAAGAUUUGGGGAUUGCAAAUGUUUAUGUGCCGGUAACACGCUGUUUUUCAGCUCCAAAAUAAUUCUCUGUUGUGUGGAAAUGAAGUGGUUUACCCAGCAGAAAAUAAGUGUUGCUGCUGUGUUGUUUUUGGCAGGAGUUGGUGGUUCAUCAUUUGGACACAUCAGGUACUUACUCUGUGGCUGUCGUGUAAUUUUAAAAUGACAGUGUUGCAAACGUUGACAAAAUUAUGGAGUAUUGAUUGGUGGUAGAAAAGUAGCAGGGCUGGGAACAUGCAUCUAUGCAGUACUGUUUUGAAAGUGAAUUGGAAAAGCACUUUUCUUUUUGCUAGUUUGUUUGCUGUGCUCGAUCUCCGAUUCACCAGGAGGGGAACUAGGAAAUUGUGGACUAUCUGGGAAUCUCCCUCUGUUGUGUUGGAUAUUGUAUCGCUAGCGUUUCCUGUUCCCAGCAAUUUUAAAGACUUCAGGAUGGGACACAGCUGUUUAGGCUGAACUUGGUACAGAGGCAUAAUGCCACUUCUUUAGUAAGUUCCUUGUAUUGCUGUUAAAAACAAAGGUCACUUCUACCUGUAGUGUCUUUCUAAGACAAAAAGAUGAUGCGCCUCUAAGCUUUCUGGUAUUAUUGAUACAUUUUAGUGUUGGCUGGUUUACUACUUGUUUCUUACUGAUCCUUGGGUUGGCAGUGACAUUGCAAAGCUGAACUCAGUAAAUGUAUUUGUUCUGAUUUCAGUGAAUUUUAGCUUUCUCUAAGCGUAACCAUUGUUAUGGUUCUUCUUCUACGUUUUCUGCACUACAGACAGUGCAUAGUGUAUGCUUAAGCAUCUGAAAAGUAUUAGAAAGUGUGGCUGUGGUGGCACAUGAGUAAUGCUACUGGCAAUAGAAGAAAACAACCUUUUGAAGGUCAGCUUACCACAAAUCCAGAAAAUAUUUGUCAUGCCCAGAGAAUUGAUCUGAAAUUUGAUCAAUCUGGGAGAACAAAUCACAGCAGAAAGCAUGCAUUAGAACUAUCCCUUACUGAAAUUCCCAGUGGAGUUUGUUUUAUGGAAGCAGACUUAAAUAUGUGUAUUAGUAACAGGCAUAGCGUGCUGGAAGGAAGCUUUGUAGAAUAUGUGCAACACAAAACAAAAUUCAGUGUACAAUGCAAGAGGCAUACAAGUGUAUUCUCCCUGCUCCCCACUGUCAUCCUCCCAGAGAUGGUAACACUGGAACUACAGAAAAAUGGCAGGGGCAGCAAAAAGAGUAACGUGUACAUCAGUGCUUCCAAGCAGACUAACGCUUUUCCUCUGUGCUGUGGAAAGCUGGCUUUAAAUAUGAGUAGUUAAAAACAUUAACCAUAUGAAACUGAUUUUGUACAUCUUAGUGGUAGUAUUUUAUAUUAUGUAACCAAAAAGAAAUGCUAACUAUAUCCUUAAGGGGACAGUAAAGCAGAAGGAACAGGAGUGACUAACUCCUAAGGGUUGCUGCUAGCUGCUAGCUCCUUGUAGUGCUAACUUGACCUGAAUUUAAGAAAAAAAUAAUAAUAAAAAAAAAAAAAUGAAGACUGUUUGUCAUAAAACUAAGUGUAUGUUGUAGUGCCAAUUAUUUUAAAAUAACAAAAACGAAAAAAAGAUGUCUUUUUGAGAAAGAGUAAAAGCCAUUGUAAAAGUAUUAGAUUUAUCUCAGGGUUUCUCUGGGUCUACAACAUACAAUUGUUUUCAUUGUUUAUAGGUCAGGGCAAAGGGGCGAGGAAACCUUUGUCCUAUAGCUGUGCCAAUGCAUGUAACGAAGUCAGUGUCUACAUAAACUGAGAGAAGGCAAAACCCAAAUAAAAAGCUUUGUCUGGUAUUACUGGUGAUACCUAAGGUUACCAGUAAACAACAAAAGGUACUUCUACAAAACAGAGAGCUUGCACAGGUCUUUUCCCCUGAAUAGCAAAUAAGGCAUAACCCUAAACCUGGCAGAUCUGCUCUGCACCUAUUGAACCAAUUUUGGCUUUCACAGUUCGCGCUAACAUGAGUUGGAACAACUGUAAUAUCUGUAGAGCAGAGGAGGAGGAAAAAAAUCUGCUGUAGUAUUCGGUUUGAAAUUAUUUUCAGCCAGAAUGCUGAAUUUAGUACACAGUACAAUUCCUCCUAAACAAAGGGGGAUAGCUUGGAAAGGAAGGAGACGAGCAACAUAGCUUAAGAGAAAUUUCAAGUGCAGCUGUAUAAACUGAAUAUUACUUUUGCUCCUGCUGUUUACCUAUAAUAAUUAUUGAAGAAACAAGUCUAGGUAAUUUAUCCCUUUCUUCUGCUAUUUUUUUUCUACUCACCUUUAUUCUAAGAAUUUCUAAUCAAUAGCUCUAUUUUGUCUUUCAUCCACAGUAUUGAAGGACAGAGCUUCUAUGCAAAAUUAAAAGCGGUGUAAAUCCACAGCAAUUGUUAGGAUUGGCUGUUGAUUACUUGCCCGACAGUAAUGAUUUCAUUAGCUCCUAGCAGUAGGCCUUCGUUCUGGGGUCAGCCAUGGCUAAGUAGUGAUGUGUAAGCUCUAUUGUGCUAACGUAGCCUCAAAAUCUCCAAAUCAAACACAGCUUUAUCCCAGUUCUCUCAUUUUUUUUUUUUAAUUAGCUAAUAUGUAUUGGGCUUUUUUCUUUUUCAUCCCCUUGCUUUCUCGGAUGAGCUCAGAUGAUCUUUGAUACUUGCAUUUGCUUGCUCUGCGAUUGGAUCACGUGAACUCAAACCCAUGGGGCUCCGAAACAAGAGCAGCAGCAAAAGAUGAAGAUUGCAGUAAGGUAGAAAGGACAUAUGUUUGCCGAUAGAUCGCUCUGGUUUUGAUGUGGCGAGCAUCAACGUGUAAAGAUAAAGUAGCAGUGGCGUUUUCAACACCAUGCUGCAGAAGUAGACAAUGUGAAUCUUAUUGCUUGGUUUAUGAUUAUGCAGUAUUGCUUUCAGAAGCUCACUUGUUGGUCUGUGGUCUGCUAUGGCAGGCAUGUCCAACCUGUGGCCCAGCACAUCUCGCGUUGUGGCUGCCCCUGCUCUACGCCAUCAUGGCAGCAGCUCUUCCUGUCUUGUGCCCAGCUCCAACCAAACAUUGGUGUGAUGCAAACCCCUUAUGGUGAGAAACCGGGGCACGGGGAAGGUGCGGUGCAGUGCCAACUCUUAUGGUAAACUUAUGGCGAGUAAGUUUUAGAGCUUCGCUAAGUCCUGUGAGCAGCGAAGAACUCACAGCCGUGCUUUCCAUUUUGAUAAAGGAAUUUGAGUUUUAAGAUUGCUGAAAAAAUCAUCCAUUUUUUUGGUUCAUUUACAACUCUAUUUUCAGUCGACAUAAAUUAAUUAUUUGUGAAUUUUCAAAUGGAAUAUUUUAUCUCUUCACCAAACUUUCCUAAGUCCUCUCUUACCAGAGGGAAACAUCCCUCAGUUAUAGCAGAAUAGCAUCUGACGUGGAAAUGCGUACGAAGCAAAGGUUGAAUUCUCCCCUGUAGAAAAAAAUGUCACCCGUUGAUGCUCAUACACUUACUGAAUGUGUAUGGAGACCAAACAGUGGAUGUGAGCACGGUGAGGCGGUGAGUGGUGUGUUUCAGCAGUGACAACAGGGACAGUGGAUCAUCUCUGUUAAUCUCUGUUGAAAAAUCUGGUACAGAUUAAGUGUGGAAUGUGGGCUUUUGUUCAUCACUGGCAAAAAUGCACAGCUAACGGGAGUUGACAACGUGGAAAAAUAGUGAUUUGUAUUUGGGAAUUUGCUCCAUCAAAUAAUGUUAUUGUGCUCUUUGUAUCUGCUUUGGUUUCCGUGGAAAUACACGUAGGUCACUCCUACAAAAGUAAUGUCUCCUGUAUACGUGGCCCAAGGCAUUUCCUCUUCACUCACUGUGGCUCAGGCAAGCCAAAAACGUUGGACACCCGUGUGCUAUGAUCUCCUUCACAGCCUCCUGCUUUCACAGAAGCACUCUGGGGGCUAUUUUUAGCUGAACGUAAUGAUUGCUGUAGCUGCUAUUCCAGUACUUCACGUUGGUGUGGAUUGGGUUUUCGUGUUGCUUGCAUUUAUUUUUGAGAGGGCUUUAAAUCUUGUUAGAGGAGAUAACUUGGCCUUUCACGUACUGUAUCUUGAUCUGAAGACGUGAAGAUCUUGCAGAGCAGUAAAAAAGAAGUCCUAACUUAAGUGAAGCACUUGAUCAUUUAUGAAUCAAUUAAUGGGUGUGAUUGGCUAGCUUCCCGUGGCACAACUGUAUACCACUUGCUUCAUACAUCAGAUGCAUUUUCUAUAUAGUAAAUUGUAAAAUCUGAAAGCUUUUACUCAGUUUUUAGGCACAAAAUGUUAUUUUUGUAUUAAAUAUAAGGGUAAGAUUUUGUCUUAAAAUACAAAUCUAGUUGUCUUGUAACGGCAAUUGGUUCUGACUAGAUUUCUUUGCCUUAAAAGGGAACUUAGAGUCAUAGUGUAAGAACCUUCUUGAUUGGCCAUCUAGCUAUGGGAAAUAUAAACUGCUUCAUACAAAUACUACUCUUCUCAAUUUUUAUAUGAAUUUUCAGAGGCUCUACCUAAGUGUUAAGCUUCCUUUAUAGAAGCGCAGGCAAUAAAAUAGUUGCUGCUGCCAGCUUGUAUGCCUGAAAGCUCAGGGUUUUUUGUCCUAACUGUAUGAGGUGUUUUUUUUUUGUUGUUUUUUUUAAUAAAAAAUAUUAACUUUUUACACAAACUUGUCUGACAUAGAGGAGAAAAAUAUCUUUCACUUGAAAUAAAAUAUCAGUUAUAUUUAAUGAUUAAAACAAAUCAUUGUAAGGGAAGACAGAAGGCAACUGGAAGAAAAAUCUGGGGAGCGGCAAGCUGUAAAAGCCCCUGGUUUCUCACCGUUCUGAAAAUGGAUCUUAGUUUUCUUGGUAGAACUGAGUUUUCAAGAGUAGUUGCAAGUAGCAAAUUUACAAAGUAUUCAAUAGAGUUUAAAUCUUGUUCUAUUAAAUACCAAAUAAAUCCUAAACUAAACAGUAAAUGGUUUGCAGCUGAGCGAUGCCUCAUCUUUCAAAAGCCCCGAUCACUGAAGCUAGAGGAGCUCAAUAAGCAUUAACCGAUUCUUAGUGGGUAAAUGGAAACUGCGAAAGCAAAAGGUGGCGAGAAGUAUUUGAGGGCUUUGCUUGUGUAUGCACAAGGGUGGAGCCGUUUUGCAGUAUGUCAGGGGAAGAAGAUGGAGCUGUGAGUGAUGCUUGCAGUACAGCUUGAUGGCACUGCACAGGCUUGGAAUACUUCAGAGCUUCAAAACCACUUGUUUUCGUGCUUCCAUACUUUGGGAUCUACAAAUGAAGAGAAUCUGUCAGUCGGAUUGUACACAGUGCUCUGGAUCGAAAACAAGGAGAUGCUCACAGAGGUGGUGUAUAACCCUCUCCAUAGACGCUCAAGGUAAGACUGGAUGGGGAUCUGAGCACUCUGAGCUGUGAGUGUCCCUGUUCGUUGCGGGGAAGUUGGACUUGAUGCCCUCUGUAUGUCCUUUCCAAUUCAAACAAUUCUAUGAUUUUAAGUGUUAAGUAUGUUACCUGGCCAAGAUUAGGGUUAGCUCUCUAGAGGCAGAAGAGGAGUAUGCUAGGCAAAAGUAACACCCUUAACGGUUGCGGGCUUUUAAGGGUUUCAACCGUGCAUGUUCAUAAAGUGGAUCAGAAAGGUCCAGCCAACCAGAUAAGCUGUCAGCAAGGGUUUCUUUAAUCUGAGGUUCUCUUUUCUUGGAAAAUUUCUUAACAAAAAGAAAGAACACUAAGAGCGUUCAGCCUUGGAAAUUAUAUUUCACCAUGUGAGUGACAUCCAUGUUGUUAAAGCAUGCCUCAAAUUUGCCAAUCGUCGUCUUCAUCGUAAAAAUUCAUGCUAUUAUGGAUAUAUAGAGCAUACAGUGUGAUAAUAUCUUGCUUCUUGCAGCUCAUGCGUUGUCUCCCCAGAAGUAUAUCUGCAACCACCUGAGAGCCCAAGCCUGUAAGAUCUGAAACCUUUUGCAUGGUAUCUGAUUGGCUGAGGGACCUGAGAGGUCACCUGUGCAGCUCAAUUUCUCUCCGCUUCACAAGCGGAGGUGUGUGCAUGAAAAACCUUGCCUUCCUUUUUUUGCAGCUGUGAACUAAAAAUAUUUGGCAUAGGUAAAGCUUCUGCCUUGUAUUUUUCAGUUUCCUCAUCGAGGUGCUUUCCUCCUUCUCUAACUUCAGCUGCUCCAAAGGAUGCAAGGAACAAAACGGUCUGCAAAUGCUUCUCUCCGCUGACACUAGCAAGAGCUGUCAUUGGGCAAGAGGAGGAGAAACGAGACUGGAGAAAAUAAGAGAUAAAAUGACAUCAUUCUGUAGGAAAGUGAAGAGAGGGAGAGAGAGAGAACUCCUUGGCUAACAAAUCCCAAGACGCAGAGCAUGCUCAGUGAGACUAAACAUAGCCCUGGGUCAAGGAGAUGGAACUAUAGGUGCCAGGCUGCUAACGAGGAUUGCAGCCAAAAAAUAUUAAUUUCAAAAGUAAGAGUGGAUAAGUAGCUUUUGCAACUGAUGUUUUUCUAUGUGAUGCCAGCCUAUAGACUCAUGUUGGAAAUGUUAUAUAGCUGUGAGCAGGUGCAACUGAUGAGCAGAUCAGUGCAUCCAUUGAAAAGCCUGAAGAACACAGAGGUAGAGCGGAGACGAGAGAUACUAUGGGCUAAAACAGGAACCACAACUUAAUGAAUGAGAAAUUCCACAUCCUGGGACAAGUUUUGAGAGAGCGCAUACUCUCCCAAGUUAUCCCCAAAUGAAGAGACCCAAUUAGAUGUAUUGCAGCCUUCGACAUACUGACUGCAUCGCAACCUUGCACACGUUUGCAUGCCUUUACAUGCACUUAAACAGGUUUGAACGCAUUUGAAGGCCUUUACACGCAUAAGCAAACAGUUGCAUGCCUUUGCACAACUUUGCACAUUUGCACACACCUAUAUGCCUUUGCACACAUUUACACAUUUUUGCACUCAUUUGCACACACAUAAGUGCCUUUGCACGCUCUUGUAUGCUCUUACACGAAUUUGCAUGCUCUUACACAUUGUUGCACGCCCUUACAUGCUCUUGCACGUUCUUACAUGCAAUUGCACGCCCUUACAUGUGAUUGCAUACUCUUAAACACUGUAGCACGCUCAUACACUCUCCCACACGCUACUGCAUGGUUUUACACGCUGUUGCACGCCACUGCAUGCUGUUGCACACCGUUGCAAGCUGUUACACGCUCUUACACGCUGUCGUACUCUGUUGCACGCUCUUACAGGCUGAUGCACACUGUUGCACGCUCUUGCAAACCGUUGCACAUUGUUGCACACCCUUACACGCUCUUACACGCUACUGAACACGGUUGCACACUG